CCUACGGGGGGCUGCAGUGGGGAAUAUUGGACAAUGGGGGGAACCCUGAUCCAGCCAUGCCGCGUGUGUGAAGAAGGCCCUCGGGUUGUAAAGCACUUUCAGUGAGGAAGAACGCCUGGUGGUUAAUACCCAUCAGGAAAGACAUCACUCACAGAAGAAGCACCGGCUAACUCCGUGCCAGCAGCCGCGGUAAUACGGAGGGUGCGAGCGUGAAUCGGAAUUACUGGGCGUAAAGCGCGCGUAGGUGGCUUGAUAAGCCGGUUGUGAAAGCCCCGGGCUCAACCUGGGAACGGCAUCCGGAACUGUCAAGCUAGAGUGCAGGAGAGGAAGGUAGAAUUCCCGGUGUAGCGGUGAAAUGCGUAGAGAUCGGGAGGAAUACCAGUGGCGAAGGUGGCCUUCUGGACUGACACUGACACUGAGGUGCGAAAGCGUGGGUAGCAAACAGGAUUAGAUACCCUAGUAGUC
rnacentral:rRNA from 1 species